UGAUUGGUGCUUGCAUCAUGAUUUACAUUUGAGUGAGUGGCGAACUGGUGAGUAACACGUGGGAAACCUGCCCAGAAGCGGGGGAUAACACCUGGAAACAGAUGCUAAUACCGCAUAACAACUUGGACCGCAUGGUCCGAGUUUGAAAGAUGGCUUCGGCUAUCACUUUUGGAUGGUCCCGCGGCGUAUUAGCUAGAUGGUGGGGUAACGGCUCACCAUGGCAAUGAUACGUAGCCGACCUGAGAGGGUAAUCGGCCACAUUGGGACUGAGACACGGCCCAAACUCCUACGGGAGGCAGCAGUAGGGAAUCUUCCACAAUGGACGAAAGUCUGAUGGAGCAACGCCGCGUGAGUGAAGAAGGGUUUCGGCUCGUAAAACUCUGUUGUUAAAGAAGAACAUAUCUGAGAGUAACUGUUCAGGUAUUGACGGUAUUUAACCAGAAAGCCACGGCUAACUACGUGCCAGCAGCCGCGGUAAUACGUAGGUGGCAAGCGUUGUCCGGAUUUAUUGGGCGUAAAGCGAGCGCAGGCGGUUUUUUAAGUCUGAUGUGAAAGCCUUCGGCUCAACCGAAGAAGUGCAUCGGAAACUGGGAAACUUGAGUGCAGAAGAGGACAGUGGAACUCCAUGUGUAGCGGUGAAAUGCGUAGAUAUAUGGAAGAACACCAGUGGCGAAGGCGGCUGUCUGGUCUGUAACUGACGCUGAGGCUCGAAAGUAUGGGUAGCAAACAGGAUUAGAUACCCUGGUAGUCCAUACCGUAAACGAUGAAUGCUAAGUGUUGGAGGGUUUCCGCCCUUCAGUGCUGCAGCUAACGCAUUAAGCAUUCCGCCUGGGGAGUACGGCCGCAAGGCUGAAACUCAAAGGAAUUGACGGGGGCCCGCACAAGCGGUGGAGCAUGUGGUUUAAUUCGAAGCUACGCGAAGAACCUUACCAGGUCUUGACAUACUAUGCAAAUCUAAGAGAUUAGACGUUCCCUUCGGGGACAUGGAUACAGGUGGUGCAUGGUUGUCGUCAGCUCGUGUCGUGAGAUGUUGGGUUAAGUCCCGCAACGAGCGCAACCCUUAUUAUCAGUUGCCAGCAUUAAGUUGGGCACUCUGGUGAGACUGCCGGUGACAAACCGGAGGAAGGUGGGGAUGACGUCAAAUCAUCAUGCCCCUUAUGACCUGGGCUACACACGUGCUACAAUGGAUGGUACAACGAGUUGCGAACUCGCGAGAGUAAGCUAAUCUCUUAAAGCCAUUCUCAGUUCGGAUUGUAGGCUGCAACUCGCCUACAUGAAGUCGGAAUCGCUAGUAAUCGCGGAUCAGCAUGCCGCGGUGAAUACGUUCCCGGGCCUUGUACACACCGCCCGUCACACCAUGAGAGUUUGUAACACCCAAAGUCGG
rnacentral:rRNA from 1 species